rnacentral:rRNA from 1 species
ACACCGGCAGCUCUAGUGGUAGCUGUUUUUAUUGGGCCUAAAGCAUUCGUAGCCGGUUUGGUAAGUCACUGGUGAAAUCCUGUAGCUUAACUAUGGGCAUUGCUGGUGAUCCUGUUGAACUUGAGGUCGGGAGAGGAUAGCGGUACUCCCAGGGUAGAGGUGAAAUUCUGUAAUCCUGGGAGGACCACCUGUGGCGAAGGCGGCUAACUGGAACGAACCUGACGGUGAGGGACGAAAGCUAGGGGCGCGAACCGGAUUAGAUACCCGGGUAGUCCUAGCCGUAAACGAUGCGGACUUGGUGUUGGGAUGGCUUUGAGCCGCUCCGGUGCCGAAGGGAAGCUGUUAAGUCCGCCGCCUGGGAAGUACGGUCGCAAGACUGAAACUUAAAGGAAUUGACGGGG